AAUAGAUCAGGGGUGAGGAAACUUUUUGGCUCGGGGCCACAUUGACUUUUCAAAUUUGACAUGCGGGCCGGGUCAGCACAAGAUACGGUACAUAAAAAACAACAACAACAAAAUCCAACCUGCAUUUGUUGACGGUCCAUAUCAAACAUGAACAGAACAAAGGCAUUCAAGUCGGAAUCUACUUUUUUUUCAUGAGAAAAUAUGUUCCCAACAUAAACGUGUGACAACACACGCAACAAAUUGCAACCACAUGUUGCCCAAAAACUGUU